UUGCCAGAUCGUUUUGAUUAACUCCCUGCACAUUUCCAGCCCUGAUUUCGGCCUGCCUGCCUCCCUGAUUUCGGCCUGCCUGCCUGUUUUGACCACCAACCCGCUUCUGACCUGGAUAUUGGAUUUUUGCCUGUCCCCUGUCUGGUAAUUCUGACUUUUCUGUUGUUUGGACCCUGCUGGUAAUCUGACCCUUGGACUGUGUUAUUGGAUGAGGAUUUGAAUAUCGGAUUUGGAUGUGGAUUUGAAUUUUGGAUUUGGAUGUGGAUGUGAAUUUUGGAUUUGGAUUAACGCAACCUGCCUCUCUCUCCCUUCCGCUGGAGGAUCCAUCCGGACCCCCCUUCUUUGAACAUAUACCCAACUCAAAGUCUCAGUUUAACCAUUAUCUACCCCUGCUAACCCGUCCUGGUUCAGCAGCCCCGACAGACGCAGCGGAUCUCCUCACUGUUAUUGCAGUACAGGGAUUCUGCCGGCUCGCUCCUAUUUCUUCCACAGGCUAGCGGGCUACGAGACCAGACCCGGUUUUCCUGGAAGCUACUCACAAUUAUUCAAUAAACCUGUUUCCAAUCCAAUCCUCUGUCCUGACACUGUUUACGGUCCAGUUUGCUAAAUCCUUCACAAUUAUUUAAUUGGAGUACAUAAUCUUUGAUUUAAAAACAGUAUAGUUUGGUGGUUGUAGCUCAUUUCUAGUCAGAAAUAUCAACUAUAUAACACUGACCCUAACGUGUACAUAGGCUACAAAAAGACUUCGUCAAAGACUCUUGUCAACAUAAACUAAUAUUUACGUUGGUACCCCAAAAAUCUCUGCUUGUAAAAUAUAUGAGAACAAGAUAAAGAUCAAAUUAAGGUAAAAUGAGUCACUCAAAACGAAUUCAAACAUAAUUUUAUUAUAAAUGUUCAAAUUAUUAAAGAUUUUGCAUGAAGAACCAGCAGAAAAUCAUCAUCAGACUUGGAAAAAGUUCCUCCUGAAUAAACAAUAAGGCACCACAGUUUUCUUCUUUCUAGUGAAAAUAAAAAGCUUUAAAUCAGAUCCCCGUUCCAUCACAUUUUUACUGGUUUGAAAUUAUUUUUUAAGCAUCAAGUUUGUUAUUCAUGAACAUUUAUAUGUUCAGGCCAAAACAACAAACAAAAACUAAAUAUUUCAUCAAGUAGAUUUUGUUUGUAGUCAAAACUGAUUUUUUUGCGUUGUCUCUAAAAGUCCUGACGAGAAACUGCUGCUGGACCUCGAUGACAAGCAGACAUCUUUGCCUUCUUCACCGCUUCCAUCGAGAUGUUCGUAGAGCUUCCGUAUUUCUUCUUCCGGGAGGGUUUGCUGAGCUCUAAAUUUCACGCUCAUCUCUGGAUUCAAUCCUUUUUUAAUAUAUUUUAUCUAAUAUCCAUAGGGGGAUCAGCGAGCUCCACUAAGGGAAAAAGGAAAGAGAGUCUUUUAGUCACUGAAUAAUUAAUAAAAUAAAAUAACAGUCACCCUAAAAAGAUUUAAUCAAGUUUAAUGUCAGGUUUCAUAUUUGCAGAGUAUAUAAUGGUGGAAAGACACGACUCUGAGGCAGAGGAAGAGAGAAAAAAGAUGGCCUGAAAACAGAACAGUCAUUAAAAACAAAACUACGGUUUUGUGUAUCACAACAUAAUGAACCAUUAUCUAGUUCUCAACGUCAUUUCCUUUUUGGCUCUUCCCUCCAUCUAACCUCAUCCUCUUCUCUUGCACCCAUCAUGUCUUCCUUCACCACACUUCAUGUCUCAUUAUAGUUCCAGCCUCAGCAUCCUUCACCUCUGCACCCAAACCACCUCAGUCUGGCUUCUCUGACUUUGUCUCUGAAACAUCUUGUGUUAUCCCUCAUUCCUGAUUCUACUCAUCCCUGUCCCUCCCAAAAAUACAACACCUUCUCACUAAAUGUUUAACGAUGUUACUUUCACACAAUAUAUGAAUGAAGAAGCUUCUUUUUGAAAUAUGUAUUUUUGUGUUGGUUUAAAAUGAAAUACUUGCGAUGGUCGAACAAUAUGAAAUCAUUUAAAUGUGUAUUGUGAUAUAGGACUGUACAGUUCAGAUGGAAAAUUAACAGGAAGUGGAAAAUAUUUUAACUUUGGAGAAGGGGUGGGGUUUAAUAAGUUUGACUUCUUCCCGCCCUUUUCGAGCAUGAUCUGUUUUUAUUUUUAUUUUUUUUGUAUUUGGGAUUCUCAUGGCUGUACAUGUGGUUUUGUAUGAGCUCGAAAUAAACUUACUUACUACUAAUGACCGAUAUGAAUCCUGU